rnacentral:rRNA from 1 species
AUACGGAGGAUGCAAGCGUUAUCCGGAUUUAUUGGGUUUAAAGGGUGCGUAGGCGGUUUGCUAAGCGGGAGGUGAAAUGCCGGGGCUCAACGUCGGAAGUGCCUCCCGAACUGGUGGACUGGAAUGACCCUGCCGUGGGAGGAAUGUGUAGUGUAGCGGUGAAAUGCUUAGAGAUUACACAGAACACCGAUUGCGAAGGCAUCUCACGAAGGGUUGAUUGACGCUGAGGCACGAAAGCGUGGGGAUCAAACAGGAUUAGAUACCCUGGUAGUCCACGCAGUAAACGAUGAUGGCUAACCGCUGGUUUAUUCGGAUCAGUGGCCAAGCGAAAGCGAUAAGCCAUCCACCUGGGGAGUACGACCGCAAGGUUGAAACUUAAAGGAAUUGACGGGG